rnacentral:rRNA from 1 species
GAUGAACGCUAGCUACAGGCUUAACACAUGCAAGUCGAGGGGCAGCAUGAACUUAGCUUGCUAAGUUUGAUGGCGACCGGCGCACGGGUGAGUAACACGUAUCCAACCUGCCGAUGACUCGGGGAUAGCCUUUCGAAAGAAAGAUUAAUACCCGAUGGCAUAGUUCUUCCGCAUGGUGGAACUAUUAAAGAAUUUCGGUCAUCGAUGGGGAUGCGUUCCAUUAGGUUGUUGGCGGGGUAACGGCCCACCAAGCCUUCGAUGGAUAGGGGUUCUGAGAGGAAGGUCCCCCACAUUGGAACUGAGACACGGUCCAAACUCCUACGGGAGGCAGCAGUGAGGAAUAUUGGUCAAUGGACGAGAGUCUGAACCAGCCAAGUAGCGUGAAGGAUGACUGCCCUAUGGGUUGUAAACUUCUUUUAUACGGGAAUAAAGUGAGGCACGU